GGGAGGGCGGGGCCGGGGCGGGGCCGGGGCGGCUGGCGCGCCGGGCGCGAGCCGCCGGGGAAGAGGGAGGGGCCGGCCGAGGUGGGCGUGGCUGCCCAGCCUCGCGGCCUUUGCAGCCUGGAGACCGCAGCCCGCCGGCGCCCCGCUCGCACUGCCGCCGCCGCCUCUUGCGGCAGUUGCGGGGUGCGGCGCCGGUGCCAACCUCUUGCAGAGCUGGGCGCCUCGCGCAGGCGCGCUCCCCGCGCCGCCGGAAGUGACGGUUCCGGCCCGUGUCACGUGGAAAAGGAAUGGGGGGACAUCGUGGUGGGGGCUGGGGAUAGGAGUGGAGUCUGGGGUCCGGGUUAGGAACAGGAGGUGGUGCAAACGCGGAUCGGCGGGGCUGCUCGGUUCGGGAUUGUGUGUGUCGCUCUGGGGGUCUUGAAAUGCCGCCAGCGACUUGUCCCACUCGCGGAAACGUCCCGCUUCGAGCCCGUUUUCCAGACUCUGUCCCGAGAGGAUCGGUUUUCCGGGCGCCCCGGAGCGUGGGCGGAGGAGCAACACGGAGCUCGCAGGUUCCCGUAAGACGACUUGCAAAGCCCAGGUGUUCUCGCACUGUACCGGAUGUUUGCUCUCGGAAGCGUUCUGCGGUUCAAGAAUUGCUUAGAAGAGAGCUUUAAAGGCCUUCUGUGUGCCAUGUAGGAGCCGUGCGGUUGUGUUCAGAGCAGCACCGGACCUACUUCUUUGGACAGAUAACAAAGGUGUUUACUGAAACAGCGCCUGCUUGAUGUUCACUGAUAAAGUAGUCCUGAGUCAGCCUCUGAAGAUAAAAGGGCAAUCUUGCACUCUCAGUAACCUCAGUUUGGCAAGGAAAAGGAAUUUAUAUGUUCUUCACAUUUUAUUAAAACAUCCUUUCAUUCUCAUGCAAGUAUAUUAUCUGUUGAGUUCCCAUGUUGGACCCAUAUUUUAGGAAUGAAAGGAAAAGCGUUUUUGAGAUGUUAUGAAGAAAUUUGCUGUUUCUUAACUCCCCUAAACGUGCCUAGGAAAUUGAAAACUCAGACUGGAAAUCUUGGGACAAGGACCUCUAAGUUGUCUCUAGUUUCUGGCUAUCAUGAAUAGAGCAGCAACAAACAUGGUUGAGCAAGUGUCCCUGAAGCAGGAUGAAGAGUAUUUUGUGUAUAUAGUUAUGAAGGAUAUAGCUGGAUCUUCAGCUCACACAAGGAAUUGGAGAGAGAGCCUUUGAAGCUUUGAUGAUUCCAUAGUCCAAGCUUGCAGCAUUACAUUGGAUUGGCUCCUAGAAAUUGCCAUAAUGAUUGGUAAUAAAUGAGCAAGUCAGACAAGUACCAUACCUUAACUUUUGCCUGAGACAUUCGAAGAAGGAUUCAGAAGGAAAUGUCAUCAAAUGGAACGUGAA
rnacentral:lncRNA from 1 species